UAGGGAAUCUUCGGCAAUGGGGGCAACCCUGACCGAGCAACGCCGCGUGAGUGAAGAAGGUUUUCGGAUCGUAAAGCUCUGUUGUAAGAGAAGAACGUGUGUGAGAGUGGAAAGUUCACACAGUGACGGUAACUUACCAGAAAGGGACGGCUAACUACGUGCCAGCAGCCGCGGUAAUACGUAGGUCCCGAGCGUUGUCCGGAUUUAUUGGGCGUAAAGCGAGCGCAGGCGGUUUAAUAAGUCUGAAGUUAAAGGCAGUGGCUUAACCAUUGUUCGCUUUGGAAACUGUUAAACUUGAGUGCAGAAGGGGAGAGUGGAAUUCCAUGUGUAGCGGUGAAAUGCGUAGAUAUAUGGAGGAACACCGGUGGCGACAGCGGCUCUCUGGUCUGUAACUGACGCUGAGGCUCGAAAGCGUGGGGAGCAAACAGG
rnacentral:rRNA from 1 species